rnacentral:rRNA from 1 species
AGAGUUUGAUCCUGGCUCAGAGCGAACGCUGGCGGCAGGCCUAACACAUGCAAGUCGAACGAACUCUUCGGAGUUAGUGGCGGACGGGUGAGUAACACGUGGGAACGUGCCUUUAGGUUCGGAAUAACUCAGGGAAACUUGUGCUAAUACCGAAUGUGCCCUUCGGGGGAAAGAUUUAUCGCCUUUAGAGCGGCCCGCGUCUGAUUAGCUAGUUGGUGAGGUAAAGGCUCACCAAGGCGACGAUCAGUAGCUGGUCUGAGAGGAUGAUCAGCCACAUUGGGACUGAGACACGGCCCAAACUCCUACGGGAGGCAGCAGUGGGGAAUCUUGCGCAAUGGGCGAAAGCCUGACGCAGCCAUGCCGCGUGAAUGAUGAAGGUCUUAGGAUUGUAAAAUUCUUUCACCGGGGACGAUAAUGACGGUACCCGGAGAAGAAGCCCCGGCUAACUUCGUGCCAGCAGCCGCGGUAAUACGAAGGGGGCUAGCGUUGCUCGGAAUUACUGGGCGUAAAGGGAGCGUAGGCGGACAUUUAAGUCAGGGGUGAAAUCCCGGGGCUCAACCUCGGAAUUGCCUUUGAUACUGGGUGUCUUGAGUAUGAGAGAGGUGUGUGGAACUCCGAGUGUAGAGGUGAAAUUCGUAGAUAUUCGGAAGAACACCAGUGGCGAAGGCGACACACUGGCUCAUUACUGACGCUGAGGCUCGAAAGCGUGGGGAGCAAACAGGAUUAGAUACCCUGGUAGUCCACGCCGUAAACGAUGAUUGCUAGUUGUCGGGAUGCAUGCAUUUCGGUGACGCAGCUAACGCAUUAAGCAAUCCGCCUGGGGAGUACGGUCGCAAGAUU